GGGGAUGCCAGGCUUCGACAAUGAGACCGUUUGCGCGAUGCGCGAAGUAAGAGUGGGGACCUCUUUCAACCUCUCCAAAACAUAACUGCAAAAACAGUUGCAUCGCCGUAUUUCGCGGCGAACCAGUUCUCCUUCGCUUACGCCAAGGCUUAACUGGCAUCUACCCUCUCUCGUCCGGUGAGUGGGCCUAGGUGUUAUAAAACGGACUUUAACUUUUGGACGUAAUUCGCCCAAAGGUCGAGACAAAGAAUUUGCAGAUAUAAAGUAUUUGGUUUGUUUUACAGCUUUAUAUCUAAAGAAACCUAAAGCAAACUACACUUCGUAGAAGCCCGCGUAGCGCCUCUUUGGACGCGAAUUCAAUUUUCGCCAUCUCCACAA
rnacentral:tmRNA from 1 species